GGGCUUGUGGUCUAGUGGUAUGAUUCUUCCUUAGCACGGUUGAGGUGCUCGUCCAUCUCAUCGUCGACUUGGAAGAGGUCCGGGGUUCAAUUCCCCGCGAGUCCA